UAAUGUAGGGGUUAAAGUACAGGCCCAUUGUUAUUGGAUAUUGUUUUGAUCAUGUUAUACUUGACUUAUCUCCAUUGAAGUGUCACAAUCAUGUCCAAAUAUACACUGCAUGGAACAAUCUAACGAGUAGACCUGUUUGGGUUUUCUGUUCAUAGAAUGGACUAGCCUGAAUCGUCUAUAAUAAUACACCGAGGAAUUGAGUGAACACUGAUAACACCGCUUGCACGUCAUACGGAAUAACCCCCUUUGGGAUUAGCAGUAGGACUGUUGUUCUGUAUUGCAGAAAUAUGUAUGUUACAGAUGCUCAGCUAGACGAGCUAUCAGGCUCGAUCCCAUCGUCCCAAUACUUCACUGUCUGUCAGUCGUUGGGUGUACUAACCAAUCAGGGAGCUAUGGUCUUAGAGAUGAGAGGGAACAACUACCAGAAAGCUUUCGGGAUAGUUCUUCGAUUGUGGAAUGAGAGAACUGGAGGAACCCGAACACGUCUCCGUGCAGCCCUGAAGGACGCAGGAGCAGGGGAUCUCAUGAAGGAAUGAAAGCAAUGAUUUACAAUAUUAGGUUAAAGGCGUGUUGCAAUCGUAUAGAUCAAGACGGUUAGAAAGUACUUUUAUUGAAAAAAAACUUCCCUAGAAAAAGAUAAUUAAUGUAAAAGCAGAAAUAACAAAUGAAAUUAGGAGAUUUGUUAUAUUUUAAAGGUUCCAAUAUUCUGUGAAAGAUAAAUAUUAAACUAAUUACAGAAGGCGGCUCCAGGAUAUUUUGAUGGGGGGGGGGUAAGACGACCUGAAGAUGAUUUCAUAUUCUUCUUGAUUUAAUUCUAGGGAUAUAUGAUAAAGUUGAACGUCCUAGGCUUUCAUUUUCACAUUUUUCUUUAUAAUUCCCCUUUUCCCCCCUCUUUUUCAAUUUAUAGAGAACUACUUGAAAAGAUCAUAAGGGUCAGCGCCCCUAGCCCCCUCCCACACUGUGGAGUCUGCCUUAAUGCGAAUGGUAGCUGAAGAUGAUGGGGGGGGGAAGAACACCUAACUAGAAAUUUAAAGUAUCAAAUAUCAUAUACUUGAGGGGUGUACGUUAAAAACAUCAUUGUUAUUUUGAGUGUAACAUUUUUCAAAAAUCAUUCUCAUUAUUUUCUUCCGCAAUCAAUUUUUAUUUUCAUCCAUCGUGCCCAAGAUAACAGGGUUUCGGGGUUAACAUUCCAUAAUGAUGUGAUGAACAAUGUCACCGCAUGAAUCAUUGCCAUGAUUGAUGGCUGAGUGUGUUUUCUUAUACGUAAUGGCCUCAAAUAACAGAAAAAAAUACACAUACAAAUGAGACAUCGCUUUACAUUUUUUUUACAAGUAAAGUACUAUUUUCAUGCAAUAUUUCAUUUGCAGUAGUAAUGUCCCUCACGAUUUGUAGAUCAUGUUGAUUCUGUAAAAAGUGACCUUUUGUAUAUUUCAUUAGCAUCAUAAAAGUUAUUAGUGUUACGCUAUAUUCGAUCACUCUGUUGAAGAAUCUUUCAUCAUUGCAAUUUUUCGUCUUCUAAGCCUUAUAUAUUGGUGGGCAAUUUUCUUUUAUUCAUCUUUUUAUACCACCACUGCAUUACGUCACUGGACAUUACUUCUUCUGUAAACGUAUAUGGAUUAAAACAUAAUAUCUUAUGAGGAGAAAAAAAAAUCAUAUCAAAGGUAUAAAAUAACCGCAUGAUUAAACCUGAUAUCAACAGAGAGGUCGCAUCAUCAUUCAUUUUUAUGUUCCUUUUUUUUCAUUGCAGUUUGUAACUUAAACAUGAAUAAUUCAGUAAUUUUUUGUACUUUUGAGUUGAAUAAAAUCAACAUUUCGUAAUCAUUGUAAUAAAGGAGUUUCU